rnacentral:rRNA from 1 species
AUCUUCUUUGAAGGUAUGCUUAAGGAGGGGCUUGCGACACAUUAGUUAGUUGGCAGGGUAAAGGCCUACCAAGACUAUGAUGUGUAGCUGGACUGAGAGGUUGAACAGCCACAUUGGGACUGAGACACGGCCCAAACUCCUACGGGAGGCAGCAGUAGGGAAUUUUCGGCAAUGGAGGAAACUCUGACCGAGCAACGCCGCGUGAACGAUGAAGUACCUCGGUAUGUAAAGUUCUUUUAUUAAGGAAGAAAAAAGAGUGGAAAAACUCCCUUGACGGUACUUAAUGAAUAAGCCCCGGCUAAUUAUGUGCCAGCAGCCGCGGUAAUACAUAAGGGGCGAGCGUUAUCCGGAAUUAUUGGGCGUAAAGGGUGCGUAGGCGGUUUAAUAAGUCUAUAGUUUAAUUUCAGUGCUUAACGCUGUUGUGCUAUAGAAACUGUUUUACUAGAGUGAGAUAGAGGCAAGCGGAAUUCCAUGUGUAGCGGUAAAAUGCGUAAAUAUAUGGAGGAACACCAGAGGCGUAGGCGGCUUGCUGGGUCUUUACUGACGCUGAGGCACGAAAGCGUGGGGAGCAAACAGGAUUAGAUACCCUGGUAGUCCACGCCGUAAACGAUGAGUACUAAGUGUCGGGUAAAACUGGUACUGAAGUUAACACAUUAAGUACUCCGCCUGAGUAGUACGUACGCAAGUAUGAAACUUAAAGGAAUUGACGGGACUCCGCACAAGCGGUGGAUCAUGUUGUUUAAUUCGAAGAUACAC